rfam:Trichoderma harzianum strain T6776 Scaffolds0917.1, whole genome shotgun sequence.
UAUAAGUAUAUAAAGAAACUAUUAUGGAAUUUAAGCUAUGUAUUAAAGAGAAUUAUUUAUAUAUAUAGGAAAUUUAUCCUAUAAUUAUAUGAACUCUAAGAGAAAUUUUGUAAUAAACGAAGUGAAUUGAAAUAUCUUAGUAACUUUAGGAAAAUAAAUCAAAAGAGAUUCUAUGAAUAGCGUGAGCGAAAGUAGAGAAGCCUAACAAGUAAAACGGUUUAAAACUGUUUGAAUAUUAUGGGGAACCUUCCUCAAAGGCUAAAUAUAAUACAUAAGCGAUAGUGAAAAGUACCAUGAGGGAAAAAAAAUAAAAAUAGUAGUUUUAUAAGCAGUUCGAAAUAAAGAACGUACCUUUUGCAUAAUGGGUCACCAAGUUAACGUUAGAUGCGAGAUAAUACGUAGUUAAACCGAACGUUAAAAUAACGAUAUAGUAUCUAAAGUUAGACCCGAAGCCUGGUGAUUUUACCAUGGUCAGGAUUAUAAAAGUCCGAACCGGUGAUUGUAGCAAAAAUCUCGGAAGAACUGUGGUAGGUGUAGUGAAAGACAACACUGACUAGGAUAGCUGGUUUUCUGCGAAACCUAUAAUAGUAGGCAGUUUAAGUAAAUAUCUUAGCAGGUACAGAAUUUAAUCUCAGACAAGACAUUUCAAUGUUUUAUAUUGUACAAAUUGGGGGAUCAUGAAGAUUUUAUCAGUGAGUAUGUAGACUCGGAAUGGCAAAGAUAUAUCUUAAACUAUCAGACAUAGAAUGAUAAGGUUGUAUGUCGAAAGGGAAACAGCCCAGAACAAGAGUUAAGGUUCCUAAAUUAUUUGUUAAGUGAAAAUAAGAAGGUUUUUAUUUAAGUCGACAAGGAGAUAGGCUUAGAAGCAGCCAUAAUUUUAUGACCUCGUAACAGAGCGCUUGUUAAAUUAUAAAAGCGUCGAAAAUAUAACGGAUCUAAACAAUAUACCGAAACCUUGUCCAUAAUAUAUUAUAAUAAAUAUGUUUAUUAUAAUUAAAUGGGGUAGCAGAACGUUGAGCUAAAGUAUGAGUUUUAUUUUUUAAAUAAAAUUAUAUUAAUUUAACUCAAGUGAGAAUGGUGACAUGAGUAACUAAAAGAAAAUUUUCCGCCUUAAGCUUAUGGAUGUAAUUAAGUAACGGCCUCUAAGUUUAUAUAAUCUAAAGAUUUAAACGAUGAGAAAAUCUUUAUUACUAAAAACAACAUUUUGGUGCAAAAUGUGCUGGAAAAAUAGUAAUAUGUUUGUUAUUAAAUAACAAAUAAAAUAACCGUACCUAGAAUCUGAAACAAGUAAGCUAGUAGAGAAUACGAAGGCGUAAAUGAGCUAACAAUCAUAAAGGAACUCGGCAAAUUGACUACCGUAACUUCGGAAUAAGGAGGGCUCAUUAUUCUUGAUGAAUAUCAAGUAAAGAGGAAGAAGCAUGAAAUAAUGUUGUACGACUGUUUAAUUAAAACACAGCACUUUGCUGAAAGAUUAAAAAUCUAAGUAUAAAGUGUGAUAUCUGCCCGGUGCCGGCUGGUUAACAGAGAUAAUUGAAUACACUAAUAUUUGAUGUCGACGGAAACCCCGGUUAAAGGCGGCCUUAACGUGAGGGUCCUAAGGUAGCGAAAUGCCUUGGCCGUUAAAUGCGGUCUUGCAUGAAUGGUGUAACGAUACAACAGCUGUCUCUAUGAUUGACUCAGUGAAAUUGGAAUAGCUGUGCAGAUACAGCUUACCUCUAGUUAGACGAGAAGACCCUAUGCAGCUUUACUGUCACUAAUUAUAGAGUAUGAUAAACGAUUUUCAGAAUAUAAGGUAAUUGACAAACAUGACAAUGAGAAACCUUUAUUCUUUUUUCAUAUGAAUGAAUUGGUUUAGGAUUAUGAGUAAUUUAUAAUUAAUUUUAUGGAUUUAGCUUAGGCUUGAUCGCAUUUUAUUAUUAUAUAGCUCAUUUUAGUAAAUCAACCUAAUUCAACUUAUUUAUUUUAUAAUAAUUAAGUACCCUUUGGUAAGGAACUAUCGCUAGGGGACAGUUUAUGUGGGGCACAGACCCUGUAAAGAGUAAACAGGAGUGUCUAAAAAUUUAUAAUUAUUUUGUUUGCUAUUUUGAGUAGUUUAACUAUUUUUAAUCGUAUAAAAUUAAAUAUAUUUGCAUUUUAUGUAUAUAUAUUUAAAAUUAGGUAAGAUUUUCACUAUAUAGAAAUUAGAGAUAAUUGAAAGUAUUAUGGAAUUUUCUAAUAUUUUCUAGCUAUUAUUUAUAAUGGUUAUGUGUUUAAUAUCUAAAAAGCUCAACGGCUAAAUCUUGCCUUACUGUUUGAUUAUCGACAAAUCUUACAGUUGCGUAAGCAGGGCAUAGGAUCACAAGAUGCCACAAGGAAAGAUCUUGGAUUAUUGGAAAAGCUACGCUAGGGAUGUUUGUCCUUUAAUAUUUUAUUUAUAAA